rnacentral:tRNA from 1 species
GGGCUAUAGCUCAGUUGGUAGAGCGCCGCCCUUGCAAGGCGGAGGCCAGCAGUUCGAAUCUGCUUAGCUCC